CAAAUCAUGUUGAAUAUAAAUAUUGUACUGACAUUUCACUGUACAGUAUAUGGAGCAGUAUACACAAGUCAUUGUCUGUAUGACACUUUAGUUUGUACUGACUUUGCUAGUGCUUUUUAUGUAGCCUGUUGUAAAACUAGGCAACUAGCUAGACGAGUUAAUGUAUCCUUUGGAAGACCUCUGGAUACCCCCAGGGGUACAUGUAACCCUGGUUGAGAACCACUGCUCUAUGGUUUGCUGGAUGUCAGAGUUAAUGGCCAGAAAAAACCAUCAGAUCAUCUAGUCCGACCUCGUGCGUAACAAAGGUCCCCAAAACCACUCAGGAGCUGCACACUAAACCCAACAACAGAAGUGAGACACUGUCCAAGGCUAAGCCCAAGUUUAAUACCCAGGAGGCUAUCCUCAGUGUUAUUGCACAGGCCAUCACUCUAAAACAGUGGUUUUCAACCUGUGAUCCAUUGA